GACGAACGCUGGCGGCGUGCCUAAUACAUGCAAGUCGAACGCUUUUUCUUUCACCGGAGCUUGCACCACCGAAAGACAAAGAGUGGCGAACGGGUGAGUAACACGUUGGUAACCUGCCCCUCAGAAGGGGAUAACACUUGGAAACAGGUGAUAAUACCGUAUAACACUAUUUUCCCCAUGGAAGAAAUUUGAAAGGCGCUUUUGCGUCCCUGAUUGAUUGACCCGAGGUGCAGUAGCUAGUUGGUGAGGUAACGGCUCACCAAGGCAACGAUGCAUAGCCGACCUGAGAGGGUGAUCGGCCACACUGGGACUGAGACACGACCCAGACUCCUACGGGAGGCAGCAGUAGGGAAUCUUCGGCAAUGGACGAAAGUCUGACCGAGCAACGCCGCGUGAGUGAAGAAGGUUUCGGAUCGUAAAACUCUGUUGUUAGAGAAGAACAAGGAUGAGAGUAGAACGUUCAUCCCUUGACGGUAUCUAACCAGAAAGCCACGGCUAACUACGUGCCAGCCGCCGCUGUAA
rnacentral:rRNA from 1 species